rnacentral:rRNA from 1 species
UCCUACGGGAGGCAGCAGUGAGGAAUAUUGCGCAAUGGGGGCAACCCUGACGCAGCGACGCCGUGUGGGUGAGGAAGGCUUUCGGGUCGUAAAGCCCUGUCAGGUGGGAAGAAAUGGUUAUUAGUUAAUACCUAAUAUUCUUGACGGUACCACCAAAGGAAGCACCGGCUAACUCCGUGCCAGCAGCCGCGGUAAUACGGAGGGUGCAAGCGUUGUUCGGAAUUACUGGGCGUAAAGGGCGCGUAGGCGGCCUAUUAAGUCAGAUGUGAAAGCCCACGGCUUAACCGUGGAAGUGCAUUUGAAACUGGUAGGCUUGAGUAUCAGAGGGGAAAGUGGAAUUCCCGGUGUAGAGGUGAAAUUCGUAGAUAUCGGGAGGAAUACCGGUGGCGAAGGCGACUUUCUGGCUGAAUACUGACGCUGAGGCGCGAAAGCGUGGGGAGCAAACAGGAUUAGAUACCCUGGUAGUCCACGCCGUAAACGAUGAGAACUAGAUGUUGGGGGUGUUGAUCCCUUCAGUGUCGCAGCUAACGCAUUAAGUUCUCCGCCUGGGGAGUACGGUCGCAAGAUUAAAACUUAAAGGAAUUGACGGGGGCCCGCACAAGCGGUGGAGUAUGUGGUUUAAUUCGAUGCAACGCGAAGAACCUUACCUGGUCUUGACAUCCCGAGAAUUUUCUGGAAACAGAA